AAUGCAGCUGUGUCAGCAUGCUUGUCCCUAUCCUAUAACUGUUGGAGUCUGGCUUGAGAAUCCAGUGAGCUGACUGAUAUGGCUGGUUCGACACCUGCAGAAUCAAGUUUGUUCUAUAUGCGUUGGGCAAGAAACCUGGUGGUUCCAUGAGUACAAACAAAAGUCUACCUCAAGUGAAAGAACCAUCCAGGUCAAAGGAGAGAAGAUGGGCCAGGCCUGGGCUCUUCAUCAACGUAUUUGUUUUGGUAUGUAAUGCUUGUCCUGCAGGCUGUGUAAUGGCUCUAAUAAAAUGUCUUUCUAACUGUAUAGCAUGCCUGAGUUGUCUGCCCUGGAGAAUAAUUUGGAUCCUUAUUUGCUGUUGCCCAAUGUGUUUGUAUUGCUAAAUAACAUUGGCCUGUGUAUGCAAGAAGAUGCAAUCUAGUUAGUGUUUCAAAGAAUUUUUUAGAAUGAGUUGGGCAAAGCAGUGUUGGGAUUCCACGCAGGACGGUCCAGCGAAGACAACAGGCUCCUGCCUCAGGUAGUGGUCCUUCUAGAGCUCCUGCGAUAGUGGAAAUUACCAGCAGUCUUGAGUGAACGGUAAGACCUUUUUUCCAGUGGUUUUUGAUAUGUAAUGCUUGUCAUGCAGGCAGUGUGACAGUUCAAAAAACAGUACAUUUUAUUAGACUUGUCAAGAGCCUGACUGUUGCAUAAUGUGUCAACUGAAUUUGCUUCUAAUAUGUAGGAUGUCCUGAACUAUGCUUCCCUCUUCAGCCACUUCAUUUACUAUUUGCAGUUUCCCUGUAUGUGCAAAAAGCAUCAGUGCUUUGGAAAAAAAAUCGAGUACAUUUGGGUAAAGUAGUUUUGUGAUUCCAUGCAGGACGGUCCAGAGAAGACAACAGGUUCCUGGUUCAGGCUCCCUAGGAGUGGCCAAGCAACUUCAGCCUCCUGUGAAAAUUGCUUGCUGACUUGAGGAUUUGAGUGAUAGUUGAGUCCUUUUCUCCAGUACUGCUGAUGUCAUGCAGGCUGUGCGACAGUCCUAAUACUAUCUUCUGUUUAGAAGGCCGGACUGUUUUAUGUGUUUGCUGACCAUCUGCUUCUAACAUGUACUGAACUACACAGUAAUUUUAAUAUUUGCAGUUUCCCAUCUGUGUGUAAAAAGAUACUAACUUGUCAGUGUUUAAAUAUUUCUGGUUGGGUAAAGUACUGUUGCGCUACCACGCAGGACGCUCCUGCCAACUUAACAAUGUGAGUAACAGGUAAGAAAUUUCCCAGUAGAAUUCAACACUCUACAGGCUUUUCCAGAUCUCGUUGACCAUAUGACAGGAUUUGGCAGAAGGUAAGACUAUUUAUUUUGACAUUUUUUUUAGGGGCUAAGUGUGGGCUAGGGUUAGCGGGGGCUAAGUGUGGGCUAGGGUUAGCGGGGCCUAAGUGAGGGCUAGGG
ensembl:lncRNA